UCCGAUGUUUCGCAAGUCCGUCGAUUCCAUAGUUUUUUUUUGCUGAAACGUCAAUGAACCAGUUUUACCAAGCUGCCUAGUUGCCCUAGUAGGCGUUGCUCUCUCUCUGCAGUAUUUAACAAGUGCACCGGGACAAAGCGAGGUAGUCUCUCGACAGAGCAGGAACCCGAGAGCUCUUCAGUCAAUUUGCGUAUAACCUACAGACUUCAAUGGGCCUACUAUAACCUCAAUAUUAACACCAGUCUAGGGACUCUCAACGCAUUCACGGGGACUUUCUGUGCAAUUUCUGUGCUGACGGAAUUACAAAGGACACCGAAAGGACUUUUAUUGUGGAUUCUGGCUUUUUCACAACACGGCCUUCCCCCUACUGCGGUGAACGCCACCAUGAGUCUGAGUGUGAACGAGCUGACGGAGCUGAUGGAGAUAUGGGCGGAACUUAACUUCACAGGGGACAACAUGUCAUCCCACCACGUAGAGGCUCUGCUGUGCCCGGCUGGGUUCAGCCACGCGGCGGUGCUCUACACCCUCUCUGUCCUCUACAUCUUCAUCUUCCUGGUGGGCCUGGCUGCCAACACCCUGGUGGUGUGGGUCAACCUCCGCUCAGAGAGGAACCGCUUUGAAACCCACCUGUACAUCCUCAACCUGGCUGUGGCUGACCUCUGUGUGGUGGCUACUCUCCCAGUCUGGGUCAGCUCGCUGCUACAGCAUGGCCACUGGCCCUUCGGCGAGGCCAUCUGUAAGAUCACCCACCUGGUGUUCAGCGUCAACCUCUUCGGGAGUAUCUUCUUCCUCACCUGUAUGAGCGUGGACCGCUACCUCUCCGUGGCGCUGUUCGGAGACGGAGGGAACAGCCGCAGGAAGAAGGUGGUGAGGAGGGUGAUCUGUAUCCUGGUUUGGCUGCUGGCACUGGCCGCCUCCGUCCCAGACACUUACUUUCUGCAGGCGGUCAAGUCCACACACUCUGACGCCACCCUGUGCCGGCCCGUCUACCCCACUGACAACCCCCGAGAGUGGAUGGUGGGCAUCCAGCUUAGCUUCAUCGUCCUGGGCUUCGCCAUCCCGUUCCCAGUCAUCGCUGUCUUCUACCUGUUAUUAGCGAGCUCCAUUGGCAACGCCAACCCGCCCGGCUCCAGCGCCAACUCAAACCAGGAGCGCCGCAUCAGCCGGAAGAUCAUCCUGACCUACAUUGUGGUGUUCCUGGUCUGCUGGCUGCCCUACCACGGAGUCCUAUUGGUCGACACUUUAUCUCUCCUCAACGUCCUGCCCUUCAGCUGCAGGCUGGAGAACUUCCUGUAUGUGUCCCUCCACCUGACCCAGUGCUUCAGCCUCGUCCACUGCUGCAUCAACCCCGUCAUUUAUAACUUCAUCAACAGAAACUACCGUUACGACCUCAUGAAGGCCUUCAUCUUCAAGUAUUCCACCAAGACGGGCCUGGCCAAGCUCAUUGACGCAUCACAUGUGUCCGAGACAGAGUACUUGGCCGUGGCGGCUGUGGAGAAUAACGUGUGAUUGGCCCGCUGGGAGAGGAAAAUUGUCCCUGAGGGGAAAAUUGUCUUGGACACACAGAGGUGAUGUCACACAACUCACAGAGAACUGACUCUCUACCAAACGCACUCUACUUAAGGCCUGCUGAAUGGGCUGAACAGUUAACUGACUGAAUGCAGUCCCUGGGAAGGACAUCUCAAGCACAUUAGACGCACUGUAAAAGACCAAGACCAAAUAUGCUCUGUUUCAGUGUAACUCCCGUUUUGUUGUAACUUCCCCCUUUCUGAGUGAGUUUGGUUAACUUCCCCCUUUCUGAGUGAGUUUGGUUAACUUCCCCCUUUCUGAGUGAGUUUGGUUAACUUCCCCCUUUCUGAGUGAGUUUGGUUAACUUCCCCCUUUCUGAGUGAGUUUAGUUAACUUCCCCCUUUCUGAGUGAGUUUGGUUAACUUCCCCCUUGCCUAGUAACAGGGCUGGGGGGUCUUCUUGAGAAAGCACUUCUUCUGAACUGGAGACUUGGUGUCACCCAAACAGAUGGUUCAACGACACCGUAAACACAAACACACACACACACACACACACACACACACACACACACACACACACACACACACACACACACACACACACACACACACACACACACACACACACACACACACACACACACACACACACACACACACACACACACACACACACACACACACACACACACACACACACACACACACACACCCUUCCCCCUGCCCUGGUCAGAGCCACAGGGAAGGCGACGAGGUGCUCUCCCUGCCAGUGUUUAUGUGAGCAGGCAGUCAGUCAACCAGACUCCAUUACUCUGAAGGACCUGCCACUGAAUCAAGCCACUGUGUUUACAUGGAAAUCAGGAAUGUCAAACGGACUGACAGCCGAGACCAGAGUCAAAACUCUAAAGCUAUAUUUGAUUUUGUAUUCUUUAUUCUGAUCCCCAUCAGCUGACUCUUAAGCAACUUCUGGUCUUCACUGGGGCCAUAAAAAAGACAUUACAAACACGAAAGCCAAUCUGUAGAAUGUGAGAAGUAGAUGUAUGUAUGUUGAUGUGUGUAUGAUGGUUAGUGAGGUGUCAAUGUGAGAAGUAGAUGUAUGUAUGUUGAUGUGUGUAUGAUGGUUAGUGAGGUGUCAAUGUGAGAAGUAGAUGUAUGUAUGUUGAUGUGUGUAUGAUGGUUAGUGAGGUGUCAAUGUGAGAAGUAGAUGUAUGUAUGUUGAUGUGUGUAUGAUGGUUAGUGAGGUGUCAAUGUGAGAAGUAGAUGUAUGUAUGUUGAUGUGUGUAUGAUGGUUAGUGAGGUGUCAAUGUGAGAAGUAGAUGUAUGUAUGUUGAUGUGUGUAUGAUGGUUAGUGAGGUGUCAAUAUAAAGCCAGGAGAAUCCAUCCAGUCCCAAACACUCCUCUAGAUGACGCAUUUAGAAAGUAUUGGUGCUUAGUAUGUAGAAUGAAGGAGUAGACUUUCAAAUCCAUUGUUUAUUCUGUAAAUAUCAUAUUUAUAUAUUUGUUGAUCUGUAGGCGCAGUGAUUUUGUGAAGUUUUUUGUGAAACGGAAUCAAUGAAGGUGUGCUUUCUGUGUAAUGUUUAAAAAUGGCAGUUCUGCUACUGUUUAAAAUAAUAUACCAUUAGUUAUAUUUCAGUUAUCUUGUUCUUUUUGUUCAACUCGUUUGCAUUUAUAUCACUACACAAAAGAAAAACAGCCAAUGUGUGUACAUUUCAGUCACAACCUGCAGCUCUUUUUGAAUUUGCAAACGCAGUUUCUUGCCAGUCAGUGGAUGUUUUUACGCUCUUGUGUAAAAUAACAAAUAAAUGCACAAAACUGUU